rnacentral:rRNA from 1 species
UUGGAGGGCAAGUCUGGUGCCAGCAGCCGCGGUAAUUCCAGCUCCAAUAGCGUAUAUUAAAGUUGUCGCAGUUAAAAAGCUCGUAGUUGAAUUUCGGGAUUGACGUGACGGUCGUGCCUUACGGGGUAUGAACUGUCGCAGUUGAUUUCUCACCUUCUGGAGAAGCUCGAUGUCCUUAAUUGGGUGUCUUGCGGAACCAGGACCUUUACCUUGAAAAAAUUAGAGUGUUUAAAGCAGGCAUUUUGCUCGAAUACAUUAGCAUGGAAUAAUAGAAUAGGACGGCAUGGUUCUAUUUUGUUGGUUUCUAGGAUCACCGUAAUGAUUAAUAGGGAUAGUUGGGGGCAUUAGUAUUCAAUUGUCAGAGGUGGAAUUCUUGGAUUUAUUGAAGACUAACUUCUGCGAAAGCAUUUGCCAAGGAUGUUUUCAUUAAUCAAGAACGAAAGUUAGGGGAUCGAAGACGAUCAGAUACCGUCGUAGUCUUAACCAUAAACUAUGCCGACUAGGGAUCGGAUGAUGUUAAUUUUUUAAUGACUCAUUCGGCGCCUUACGGGAAAC